rnacentral:rRNA from 1 species
AGCGAACGCUGGCGGCAGGCUUAACACAUGCAAGUCGAGCGGGCGUAGCAAUACGUCAGCGGCAGACGGGUGAGUAACGCGUGGGAACGUACCUUUUGGUUCGGAACAACUGAGGGAAACUUCAGCUAAUACCGGAUAAGCCCUUACGGGGAAAGAUUUAUCGCCGAAAGAUCGGCCCGCGUCUGAUUAGCUAGUUGGUGAGGUAACGGCUCACCAAGGCGACGAUCAGUAGCUGGUCUGAGAGGAUGAUCAGCCACAUUGGGACUGAGACACGGCCCAAACUCCUACGGGAGGCAGCAGUGGGGAACAUUGGACAAUGGGCGCAAGCCUGAUCCAGCCAUGCCGCGUGAGUGAUGAAGGCCCUAGGGUUGUAAAGCUCUUUUGUGCGGGAAGAUAAUGACGGUACCGCAAGAAUAAGCCCCGGCUAACUUCGUGCCAGCAGCCGCGGUAAUACGAAGGGGGCUAGCGUUGCUCGGAAUCACUGGGCGUAAAGGGUGCGUAGGCGGGUCUUUAAGUCAGAGGUGAAAUCCUGGAGCUCAACUCCAGAACUGCCUUUGAUACUGAGGAUCUUGAGUUCGGGAGAGGUGAGUGGAACUGCGAGUGUAGAGGUGAAAUUCGUAGAUAUUCGCAAGAACACCAGUGGCGAAGGCGGCUCACUGGCCCGAUACUGACGCUGAGGCACGAAAGCGUGGGGAGCAAACAGG